rnacentral:rRNA from 1 species
AUUGAACGCUGGCGGCAGGCUUAACACAUGCAAGUCGAACGGUAACGACGGGAGCUUGCUCCCGGGCGACGAGUGGCGGACGGGUGAGGUAACGCGUAGGAAUCUACCCAACUGUGGGGGACAACCCGGGAGAAAUCCCGGGCUAAUACCGCAUAAGCCCUACGGGGGAAAGCGGGGGAUCGUUCGGACCUCGCGCGGUUGGAUGAGCCUGCGUCGGAUUAGCUUGUUGGUAGGGUAACGGCCUACCAAGGCGACGAUCCGUAGCUGGUCUGAGAGGAUGAUCAGCCACACUGGGACUGAGACACGGCCCAGACUCCUACGGGAGGCAGCAGUGGGGAAUAUUGGACAAUGGGCGAAAGCCUGAUCCAGCAAUGCCGCGUGUGUGAAGAAGGCCCGAGGGUUGUAAAGCACUUUCAAUAGAGACGAAAAGCUCAGGGUUAAUAUCCCUGAGUCUUGACUUAACCUAUAGAAGAAGCACCGGCUAACUCCGUG